rnacentral:rRNA from 1 species
CCGCGUCUGAUUAGCUAGUUGGUAAGGUAACGGCUUACCAAGGCGACGAUCAGUAGCCGACCUGAGAGGGUGACCGGCCACAUUGGGACUGAGACACGGCCCAAACUCCUACGGGAGGCAGCAGUGGGGAAUAUUGCACAAUGGGGGAAACCCUGAUGCAGCGACGCCGCGUGAGCGAAGAAGUAUUUCGGUAUGUAAAGCUCUAUCAGCAGGGAAGAAAAUGACGGUACCUGACUAAGAAGCACCGGCUAAAUACGUGCCAGCAGCCGCGGUAAUACGUAUGGUGCAAGCGUUAUCCGGAUUUACUGGGUGUAAAGGGAGCGUAGACGGAUGGGCAAGUCUGAUGUGAAAACCCGGGGCUCAACCCCGGGACUGCAUUGGAAACUGUUCAUCUAGAGUGCUGGAGAGGUAAGUGGAAUUCCUAGUGUAGCGGUGAAAUGCGUAGAUAUUAGGAGGAACACCAGUGGCGAAGGCGGCUUACUGGACAGUAACUGACGUUGAGGCUCGAAAGCGUGGGGAGCAAACAGGAUUAGAUACCCUGGUAGUCCACGCCGUAAACGAUGACUACUAGGUGUCGGGUGGCAAAGCCAUUCGGUGCCG